ACUGUGAACGGUGGAUCACUUGGCUCGUACGUCGAUGAAAAACGAGGCGAGACUCGAAAGUUUAUGUGAAUUGCAGCCACGUUGAACAUAGAAAUUUUGAACGCACAUUGCGGUGUUGAGUUGACUCGACGCCGCGUCUGUCUGAGGGUCGUUUUCAUUUUAAAUAUCGUACAAUUGCCCGUUGUUGUUGUUGUUGUUGUUCUUGAAAAGCAGCUAACACAACAACAACUGGGCUUUUAGUCGCUGGCCAAAAAUGUGUUGUUGUGUGUGGGAUCAUCUCUUGCGACUGCUGCCAAUUUUAUGUUGUGUGUGUGUUCAAAAGCUGGUGGAUCGUUGAAUGUGCUGUGUUGUUGUUGUGACAAGAAGCCGCCAGCCACAAUACGCUCGCGCGCAUAUGUGCUGUGUUUUUUGCGCUUCUUUUCGCUUUGCAUCAUUCAAUCUGCUUUGCAUAUUACUGUUGUUUCUAUCAUCAUCAUCAAUUGUGUGUGCUUAUGUGAUGGAACAAUCAGUUUUGUGCAUUUGCAUCCGCAACAUAGAUUUGGAGAGUGUUGUCGACGUUUGCUUUCAGUGCUUCACAUGUUGUGCUGCUGCUGAGUGUGCCGGUGGUGGUUUUUGAUGUAACCUGAAAGUGAAACGCUGCAAACAUGUUCUCUUUUUGGCGUGAAUAGUAGUCAUCAAUGAAAAAACCGAUAUAUGGUGAGCAGCUGAAAAUGUGCUUAUUUUGUUGUUGUUUCGUGCAACAAGUUGUUUGUGUGUGUGUGUGUAUGUUGAUCGUCGUCAACGUUCAGGUGAUGUGUUGUUGCUCAGUUGAUGAUGAUGAUGGCGACCAACAACAACAACAACAACAACAACAAAUUUUUGACGCGCUUGCUUACCAUUGCACGGUUUCAUUGCUGCGUUGUUGCUCUGUAGAACGUUUAUUUUCAUUUCAUCAAGUGUGAUGAUGAAAAUGUGUGGAAAUAAACGUGACAGUGGUAAUGUGCCGUGCUGCUGCUGCUGCUGCUGCUGCUAUUGUUGUGCGGGUGCUUUUUACUUGCUGUUGUUGUGUGUUGUUGUACACACGCACACCCACAUAAUUCUGUGUGCAGUUGUCGUAUGUUUUCGAAAGGGAAUCCGGUUGAUAUUCCGGAACCGAGUAACGGAGACAAAGAGUAGCGCUUUAAUCUUCCGGUUGGCGUUCAACUCAAUCGCGCGGUAACGCAAGCGAACUCGGAAAAUGACCGUCGUGAGUUUCGAAAAGAGUUUUCUUUUCUUUUUAAGGGACGCAUUCCCUGGAACCGGGUUGUCCGGAGAUAGGGAUUCUGGUAUCCAUAAAACGCCGACUCUUUCACGGUGUUCGGAGCGCUCUCGUCGGUACGUGAAAAUCCGAGCGACGCCUGGUAAAUCUCGUACUUGGUCGUACUGAUAUCCGCAGCAGGUCUCCAAGGUGAAUAGCCUCUGGCCGAUAGAAUAAUGUAGGUAAGGGAAGUCGGCAAAACGGAUCCGUAACUUCGGAACAAGGAUUGGCUCUAAGGGCUGGGCCGAUCGGGCUGAGGUUUCAAGCGUGCAGUGUAUGCUUGGCUGAGCUGUGCUGAGGAUUGAUUAGCUUGGUGCCGUUUGUUGACCCAAGCGGCUGUCCAGGUGGUCAUGUCUGAAGCAAAGCUGGCCGACAGACCAACACGUGCAGAACCUGAGCUGCGCGGCUGUCAGUUUAUUUGUACAGACCGUUUCGGUCGGCAUUCAACAGCCAACUUAGAACUGGCACGGACACAAGGAAUCUGACUGUAUAAUUAAAACAAAGCAUUGCGAUGGCCGAUGAUCGGUGUUGACGCAAUGUGAUUUCUGCCCAGUGCUCUGAAUGUCAAAGUGAAGAAAUUCAACCAAGCGCGGGUAAACGGCGGGAGUAACUAUGACUCUCUUAAGGUAGCCAAAUGCCUCGUCAUCUAAUUAGUGACGCGUAUGAAUGGAUCAACAAGAUUCCUUCUGUCCCUAUCUACUAUCUAGCGAAACCACAGCCAAGGGAACGGGCUUGGCAAAAUCAGCGGGGAAAGAAGACCCUGUUGAGCUUGACUCUAGUCUGACUCUGUGAAGAGACAUGAAAGGUGUAGCAUAGGUGGGAGGCUGCAGCCGGGCACUGCUUGCGCGGUGUCUCUGUGGUCGCCAAUGAAAUACCACUACUUUGAUCGUUUCUUUACUUAUUCGGUAAAGCGAAAAAAUUGUGGCCAAUUUUGCGGUCUCGCCGCUGUUGGUCAUUGUUUUAAUGUUGGAUUGAAGCUUCGUUUGUAGCCGUCGUUUUGUGUCGCCGUUUGACGUGCAUUCGCAGUGGUGUGGGUUUCUUGGCUCGCGCGGCGCUAGUGUCGUCAACAACGGACGACCGGCGAUUGGUUUGAAGUGAUUCGCUCCGGAAACAGUGUCAGACGGGGAGUUUGACUGGGGCGGUACAUCUGUUAAACGAUAACGCAGGUGUCCUAAGGUAAGCUCAGCGAGGACAGAAACCUCGCCUAGAGUAAACGGGCACAAGCUUACUUGAUUUUGAUUUCCAGUACGAAUAAAAACCGCGAAAGCGUGGCCUAUCGAUCCUUUUGAUUGUGUAGAUUUCACGCAAGAGGUGUCAGAAAAGUUACCACAGGGAUAACUGGCUUGUGGCAGCCAAGCGUCCAUAGCGACGUUGCUUUUUGAUCCUUCGAUGUCGGCUCUUCCUAUCAUUGCGAAGCAGAAUUCGCCAAGCGUUGGAUUGUUCACCCACCAAUAGGGAACGUGAGCUGGGUUUAGACCGUCGUGAGACAGGUUAGUUUUACCCUACUGAUGACAAGUCGUUGCGAUAGUAAUCCUGCUCAGUACGAGAGGAACCGCGGGAUCAGACAUUUGGUUCAUGCGCUCGGCUGAAAGGCCGGUGGCGCGAAGCUAGCAUCUGCAAGAUUAUGACUGAACGCCUCUAAGUCAGAAUCUUUUCUAGUCAUUGGCAACGAUAAGUUGCGUCCGGACUCGAUGCGAGGAAACGACUAGGCUUUGUUGU
rnacentral:rRNA from 1 species